rnacentral:rRNA from 1 species
AAGCGUGCGUAGGCCGGUUUGUCGCAUCUCCUGUAAAAUCCCAAGGCUCAACCUUGGGCCUGCUGGAGAUAUGGGCAAACUAGAGACUGGAAGAGGCAAGCGGAAUUGCUGGUGUAGGGGUUAAAUCCGUUAAUAUCAGCAGGAACGCCAAAAGUGAAGACAGCUUGCUAGGACAGUUCUGACGCUAAGGCACGAAAGCGUGGGGAGCGAACGAGAUUAGAUACCUCGGUAGUCCACGCCGUAAACGAUGGAUGCUGAGCAUCGGGAGUUUCGACCCUCUCGGUGCUGUCUACCUAAGCUAACGCCUUAAGCAUCCCGCCUGGGGAGUACGGUCGCAAGAUUAAAACUCAAAGGAAUAGACGGGGACCCGCACAAGCGGUGGAGCAUGUGGUUUAAUUCGACGAUAAGCGUGGAACCUCACCAAGGUUUGACAUCUAGCUGCAGUCCUCUGGAAACAGAGGGUCCUUCGAGGGUGCUAGACAGAUGCUGCAUGGUUGUCGUCAGCUCGUGUCGUGAGAUGUACGGUUAAGUCCGAAAACGAGCGCAACCCUCAUCCUAUGUUUUAUAUGUCAUAGGAAACUGCCUACUUUAAGUAGGAGGAGGGCGAGGAUGACGUCAAAUCAGCAUGGUUCUUACACCUUGGGCUACACACGUGCUACAAUGGGAAAUACAAAGGGACGCCAAGCCGUAAGGUGGAGCAAAUCCCAAAAAGUUUCCCCCAGUUCGGAUUGAGGUCUGCAACUCGACCUCAUGAAGCCGGAAUCGCUAGUAAACGCGUAUCAGCCACGGCGCGUUGAAUACGUUCUCGGG